AUUAUGAAAUUUAUUAUAAAUAUAAAAUUAAAUAUUUAAAAAGAAAUUUAAAAGGAUGUCUAUAGUUUUUAUUAUUGAAGAAAGACGUUAAAUAUAUUAACGAAAUUUUUAUAAUAAUUAAUAAAUAAUUUAAUAUAUUUUAUAUUUUUACUAAUUAUUAUUAUAAAAGUAUCUGAAUAAAAUAUUUUUAUAUGAAUAUUUUUAAAUUAACUUAAGGAAUUGAAUCAUCUUAGUACUUAAAGGAAUAUAAAGUAAUAACGAUUUUCUUAGUAGUGGUGAACGAAUUGGAAUAUUUUUAAACAUUAUAUAUGUAAAAUUUUAAUAAAGUAAUAUAAAAAUAAUAUUUUAUAUGAAUAAUAUUAUAAUAUAAUAAGAAUCAUCUUAUAAAAUUUAAUAUAAUAAAAGUUGAUAGAGAAAUAGUACCGUGAGGGAAAGAUGAAAAGAAUUUUGAAAAAAUAGUGAAAAGAACCUGAAUUUUAAAUUUUAGAAAUUAUAAUAAAAUUUAAAUUAAUUUUAUUAUAUUCUUGUUGAAGAAAGAAUUAGCAAGUUAUAUUAAAUAGUAUAUUAUUAGGUUAAAUAUUUUAAAAAUGAAGCCAAAGUGUAAUCGAGUUUAUUGUUAUAUAAACAUUAAAUAUAUUAUUUAUUAUAGACCCGAAAUCAAAUGAUCUAAUUAUGUUCAAAAUAAAAUUUAAAUAAUAUUAAAUUAAAGUUUGAAUUGAUUACUGUUGCAAAAGUAUCAAAUGAAAUGUAAUUAGCGGUGAAAUGCCAAUCGAAUUUGAAUAUAGCUGGUUCUCUUUGAAAUAUAUGUAAGUAUAGUAAUUAUAUUUAAAUAAAUGUAAAACUCUUUUUUUAUUAAAUUAAUUUAAAUAAUUAAUAUUAAUAAAAAUAAUUUAAGAAUUUUAUUUAAUAAAAUAUAUAUAUUAUUUAGAAAGUAAAGGAUAAGCUUUAUUUUCAAAAGGGAAACAGCCCUAAUUAUAAAUUAAGAUUUUUAAAUAUUAAUUAAGUUUUAAAAAGAAUAUAAAAUUAUUUUAAUAAUUAAAAAGUAAAUUUAGAAGCAGUUAUCUUUUAAAGAGUGCGUAAAAGCUCAUUAAUUUAAUAAUUUUAGUUCAAAAAUAAUCGAAAAUAAAUUAAUUAUCGAUAUUAUAAAAUUUAAUAUUAAUAAAAUUAAAUUGGUAAAAGAGCGUUUUGAUAAUGUUUAUUUAUAUGUAAAUUAAAAUAAUAAAAUCAAAAGUGAUAAUGCUAAUUUGAGUAAUGUAAAUAUUGGUAUAAAUCCAAUACUUCUAUAAUUUAAGGUUUCCUAUUUAUUAUUUUGUUUAAAUAGGGUUAGUCGGAUCUUAAGAUAAGAUGAGAUGUGUAGUCAAUAGUUAAUAAGUUAAUAUUCUUAUACUAUAUAAUAAUUUAUAUUUUAAAACUAAUAUAAUAAUUUAUAUUAUAUUAUACAAAAAUUAUAAAUAUAUGUAUUAUUUAUAUAUUCGUACCGUAAACUGACACUAGUAAAUAAAUAUAAAUUAUAAAGAAGUUGAGAUAAUUUUUUUUAAGGAACUCGGCAAAUUUAUCUUGUAACUUAGGGAUAAAAGAUACUUAUUUAGUUGAAAAUAAAAAAUUUGAGCGACUGUUUAACAAAAACACAAAUCUUUGCUAAAUUGAAAAAUGAUGUAUAAAGAUUGACAUCUGCCCAGUGCUAUUAUGUAAAAAUAUUAUAUAUAAUAUAAGAUUAUAAUAUGUAUAUAAGCUAUAGUAAACGGCGGCUGUAUCUAUAACGGUCCAAAGGUAGCGAAAUUCCUUGUCGGGUAAGUUCCGACCUGCAUGAAAGAUGUAACGACUUAAAUGCUGUCUUAAAAAAAAUCUUAAUGAAAUAAAAUUAUCUGUGAAGAUACAGAUUUCUUAUAUUAGGACAGAAAGACCCUAUGAAGCUUUACUAUUCAUAGAUAUUGAAAAUAUAUAUGUAAAACAUAGAAUAAAUGGGAAAUAAAAAUAUUAUUUUUUUGGAAAUAAUGUAAUUAUAAAUGAAAUACCAUUUUUUAUAUAUAUAAAUUCUUAUAAAAUUUUUAUAACAAAAUUUUUAACAAUAUUUAUAAGAUAGUUUGACUGGGGCGGUCUCCUCCUAUAUAAAAACGGAGGAGUACAAUGUUAUAUUUAUUAUAUAAAGAUAUAUAUAUAAUUAACUGUAAAAUAUACAAAUUAAACAGAGAUUAAUGUCGGUCUUAAUGAUCCGAUAAUUAUUUAAUGAUAAAAUUAUCGCUUAACGGAUAAAAGUUACUCUAGGGAUAACAGGCUAAUCUUUUCCGAGAGUCCAUAUUGACGAAAAGGUUUGGCACCUCGAUGUCGGCUUAUCGCAUCCUAAAGCAGUAGUAUGUUUUAAGGGUAAGUCUGUUCGCCUAUUAAAGCGAUACGUGAGCUGGGUUCAGAACGUCGUGAGACAGUUCGGUCCAUAUCUAAUAUAAGUGUUAGAAUAUUGAAAUUAUUUUUUUUAGUACGAGAGGAUCAAAAAAAUUAUACCACUAAUAUAUCAAUUAUUAUUUGUUGUAAUGUUGAGUAGUUAAGUAUAAAAUUUUAAUUGUUGAAAGAAUAUAAAUAAGAAAAUUUAAUUAAAAAUAAUAUUCUAAUCAAUUUAAAGAAUAAAACAAUAAUUAGAAAAAUUAUUUUAUAGGUUUAAUAUAUAUUUAUAGUAAUAUAUUUAGUAUAUAAUCCCUAAUAAGUUGAAUAUUUAAUUA
rnacentral:rRNA from 1 species